AUUACUGGGCGUAAAGCGCGUGUAGGCGGCCUGGUAAGUCGGAUGUGAAAGCCCGGGGCUCAACCGCGGAAGUGCAUUCGAUACUGCCAGGCUUGAGUACGGGAGAGGUGAGUGGAAUUCCUGGUGUAGAGGUGAAAUGCGUAGAUAUCAGGAGGAACACCGGUGGCGAAGGCGGCUUACUGGACCGAUACUGACGCUGAGACGCGAAAGCGUGGGGAGCAAACAGGAUUAGAUACCCUGGUAGUCCACGCCGUAAACGAUGAUCACUAGGUGUUGCGGGUAUUGACCCCUGCUGUGCCGCAUCUAACGUAUUAAGUGCUCCGCCUGGGGAGUACGGCCGCAGGGAUAAACUCAAAGGAAUUGACGG
rnacentral:rRNA from 1 species